rnacentral:rRNA from 1 species
ACAGUCACACGUAGUUGAUCAGUGGCUACAGAACGACGCUGGCGGCAGGCCUAACACAUGCAAGUCGAGCGAACCCUUCGGGGUUAGCGGCGGACGGGUUAGUAACGCGUGGGAAUAUACCCUUUGGUACGGAAUAGCCUCGGGAAACUGAGAGUAAUACCGUAUGUGCCCUUCGGGGGAAAGAUUUAUCGCCAAAGGAUUAGCCCGCGUUGGAUUAGAUAGUUGGUGGGGUAAUGGCCUACCAAGUCUACGAUCCAUAGCUGGUUUGAGAGGAUGAUCAGCAACACUGGGACUGAGACACGGCCCAGACUCCUACGGGAGGCAGCAGUGGGGAAUCUUAGACAAUGGGCGCAAGCCUGAUCUAGCCAUGCCGCGUGGACGAUGAAGGCCUUAGGGUUGUAAAGUCCUUUCAGAUGGGAAGAUAAUGACGGUACCAUCAGAAGAAGCCCCGGCUAACUCCGUG